UGGGGAAUAUUGCACAAUGGGCGCAAGCCUGAUGCAGCCAUGCCGCGUGUAUGAAGAAGGCCUUCGGGUUGUAAAGUACUUUCAGUCGGGAGGAAGGUGUCAAGGUUAAUAACCUUGGCAAUUGACGUUACCGACAGAAGAAGCACCGGCUAACUCCGUGCCAGCAGCCGCGGUAAUACGGAGGGUGCAAGCGUUAAUCGGAAUUACUGGGCGUAAAGCGCACGCAGGCGGUUGAUUGAGUCAGAUGUGAAAUCCCCGGGCUUAACCCGGGAAUUGCAUCUGAUACUGGUCAGCUAGAGUCUUGUAGAGGGGGGUAGAAUUCCAGGUGUAGCGGUGAAAUGCGUAGAGAUCUGGAGGAAUACCGGUGGCGAAGGCGGCCCCCUGGACAAAGAAUGACGCUCAGGUGCGAAAGCGUGGGGAGCAAACAGG
rnacentral:rRNA from 1 species